rnacentral:ncRNA from 1 species
CUUCCAUCCAAAGUCAACAAAAUUGAAACCCAUUUUUGAGAGUUGUUGGUGCCUCAUUCUAUAACUGACAACAACGUUAGGAAAUCCAGAGAUGUCAUCGGGGGCCUCGGGAAGACUUAUCCUAUCUUUUUAAUAGCUUGACCACCAUGAAAUCGUCUCAACUAGAGAUAGAGUCCAACAGCUGGAAGAGCAUCACAUGUCUUGUAGUGUUCGGUGCACCCUCGAUGGCCCUUGAAAAUCUAGAGGACCGAGUAUCGUCCAUGCCCAUUCAUACUCAUAACCUCAUCAGGUCUCCAAGGUGAGAAUCCUCUAGUCAAUAGAACAAUGUAGGUAAUGGAAGUCGGCAAAACAGAUCCGUAACUUCGGGAAAAAUAUUGGCUCUGAGGGUUGGGCUUAGGGGUCUUCGUCCUCAACCCGUGGGUUGUCGGUAUUCUACCCAUGGGAUUGUCAUUGAUUAAUGCUACCUCCUUUUGAAUGGUAGUGCAACUAAUUAAUGCUACCUCCUUUUGAAUGGUAGUCACCACCUAUCAUUCAUGAUCCAACACAUAGUAGU